GUGUUUACAUAUACGAUAGUAUAAUAGUUUAAGCCAAACAGAGCCUAAAAACAUUAAAUUUCAUUGAAUUUUCCGCGAUGCCGGGAGCGAAUUGCUCCAUAUCGGCUGUGGUACAUGUCGAAAUAGUGCUGGAGUUGGAAUUUUUCGGAUCCCUUCAGGAAAAGACGCAUUAUCAACGAAAACUCGUGAAGCGUGGAGCAACAUAAUUACAAAGGACCGCGUAGUGGAUGAAAAUUUGCGAAGGCAAAUAAAAAAAUGGGACGUUGUAUGUUUGCGAGAAGCACUUCAAGAAAGAGGAAUAUGAAAUGUACUUAUUUAGACAUUAUUCUUAAGACUUUAUAGUUUAAUAAUAAGACUUUACAGUGUAAGUCUCAGGCUUUUUACACUUUGUUUAUGCUGUUCCCGGAGCCCAUCGUUGUGUGGUACGAGAUUGGCUGAUUUUAUUGUUAAUUUUCUUCUGAUAAAUAGGAAUUUGCCAAUUAGUUAACUUAAGAAUGACAUGAGUGUUCUUACUGUGUAUGUAUCUAUUUAUUUUCUGAAAAUUUGUCAUUUAUCAAAAGUAGGUGGAGCAAAAAUUGCUGCAAUAGUGUUAUUAAUUCCACAGCCAAGCUAGAAGUGCAAUGUAAUUUGUAUUAUGCUCAAAUCAUACACUACACAAUGUAUGUUUAAUUAAGCCACAAUGCUCCUACUUUAUCGUUUUAACAUUUGUCUGAUGCCAUAUGAUUUUAACUCUUUAAGCUGCAAUGCUUAAUAUGCACUGCCCUUGAUGUGUAAAAUUGUCUGAUGAUAAACACUGACAGAGUAAAAGAAUAAAAGAGCACAUUGAGAUAUGUUAGCCUAUUAUCUCCAAUUAGCUUAUUUAAACUGCA